GCUGAUGGCAAUGCAAAAUGGUACAGAUGUUGUAAAAAAACAGUGUGCUGGAAACAGAACUAUCAUAUGACCCAGCAAUUCAACUCCUAGGUAUAUACCCAAAAGACUUGAAAGCAGAGGCUCAUAAAGAGACUUGUACACCAAUGUUCACUGCAGUAAUAUUCACAAUAGCCAAAAGGUGGAAACAACCUAGAUGCCCAUUAUCAGAUGAAUGGAUAAACAAAAUGUGGUACAUGCAUACAAUGGAAUACUACUCAGUCAGUAGGAGAAAUGAAAUCUUGAUGCAUGCUACAGCAUGGAUGGAGCUUGAAGACAUUAUGCUGAGUGAAGUAAGCCAAUCACAAAAGGACAAAUAUUGUACAACCUCACUUAUAUAAAAAGGCAAAUGAAUAGAGACCAAAGCUCAUUAGUGGUUACCCGGAGCAGGAGGAAGGGAGAGAAGGGAGGUUAACAGUGAUGGAAACAGGAUUAAGUGUAGGGCUGUACAGCCGAUUAUUGUAAUUGCUGUCAACAGGUUGUACCCCUGUAAAAAGUUGAAUUGGCAAAAGUUGUGUGACAGAUAUAUUUAUAACAAUGACAAAAAAAAAAAAAGUAGCUGCUGAGGCUGCUUACGUACAACCAAACACCUCAUGGGAUUUGGUUCCUUGGUUUGAGGUUUAGGGUCAUGGUUUCACGAGACAUCUCAGUUAACUGGCCUAAUAACAUGUUUAGUGCUACUGUUCUACCUCCUGGUUUGCUGCAUGGUGCCUGGGGUCUUAAAAGCCUGUAAGCGGCCACCCAAGGCACAUUAAUUGGUCUCUAUUCACCCGAAGCAACAGAGGAAAAAGACAAGUCAGGGAUUGAAGGAGGAGGAGGAUAUGUAAUGUGUGGCUAGAUGAACAAUUAGCCUCCUUUGCCAUGAGAUCAGAAGAGUUGGAUGAUGCCCAGUGACCAUUACUGAACAUUUUGAUCAAAGAUUGGAGAAGAACGCUGAUCUAAAGGGGGAAAAUGCAGAGCAGAACUUCAAAUUCUUGUGGACUCUAGGCCUUCUGGAGCCAUAGUGGGCGGAUGAACUCCUGAAACUACUGCCCUGAGAUAAUCUUUAAACCUUAAACCAGAAAUACCCCCUGAUGUCAUCUUAAAACUGAAUAGUUCAGCUUACCUAGUAAAAUAUGUCUGCCUUGGGCAUUAUGCUCUUUUAGUAACUAUCUAUUUGGGAUCAAAUUGACAACAGCAAUUCGAAAGAUUAGACAGGAACCUUAGGGGGCAGCGAGUUUAUGUUAAUGAGGGAGCAACAAUUCAGAAAAAGGAGGGUGAGAAUGGUCGCACAACUCAAAAAGUGUAAUCAAUGUUACUAAAUUAUACAUGUAGAAACUGUUGACCUGGCAUAUGUUUUGCUGUGUAUAUUCUCAACAACAAAAUAAAUCAGAUUUAGAGAAAAAAAAUCAUGUAUGUACUUUUUUAAGUUUAGAAGAAUAUAGCAAAACUCUUCAAAGUGGUUAUCUCUGAAGAAAAAGGGAGUGAUUUCUCUGGAUGGGGAUGAGUAUUUUCCCUUUCUUUGUUUCUGGAACGUCUAAACCUUUACGAUGACUCUGUUACUUUCAAAAAUUACUUAUUUUUUUAACGUAAGUGAAAUAUGCAUGUAGUAAAAAAAUUUAAAUAAUACAUAAAAGAUUUACUAUGAACAGUAAGUCUUCCUCCCACCCCUGUUCUCCUUUCCAGAAGUGGCCACUCUUACUAGUUUCCUGUAUAGCCUUCUGGGGUAUUCUAUGCCUUUGCAAGCACAUACAUAUAUAUUUCUUUUUGUUUUUUAAACAAAUGUGAGCUCCAUACACUGCUCUGACCCUUGCUUAUUUCCCUUAACUAUCUGUGGCAGGUUGAAUAAUGGGCCCCUGAAGACGUCCACGUCCUAAUCCCCGGAAUCUGUGAAUAUGGUACCUUACAUGGCAAAAAUGGAAUCUGCAGAUGCGAUUAAGGAUGCUGAGAUGGGGAGAUUAUCCGGGUUGGCCCACAUAAUCACAGGGCUCUUAUAAGAAGAAGGCAAGAGGGUCAGAGUCAGAGAGAGAGAUGCUAUACUGCUGGCCUUGAAGAUGAGAGAAGGGCCCAUGAGCCAAGGAAUGUGGACUGUGUUUAGAAGCUGGAAAAGGCAAGGAAACAGAAUCUCCCCCUAGAGUGUCCAGAAGGAGUGCAGCCCUGCCAACAAGUUGGUUUUAGCCCAGUGAGACUGAUUUUUGACUUCUGAUCUCUAGAAGUGUAAAAUAGUAAAUUUCUGUUAUUUUAAGCCACCAGGUUUGUGGGAAUUUGUUACAGCGUCCAUGGACUAAUAUAAUAUCUCAGAGAUCAUUGUAUAUCAGUGUGUCCUAGAUCAAGUACACUUAUGGUAAUGGCUACACAGGACCCACUAUAGGAACGUCCCUUCACGUGUUCAGUCCCACUACCAAAACCUGUUGCUGAAGAAGCGAGUCCGACUCAUAGUGACCUAGCGGCCAACAUUCAGGUCAUUUCCUAAUCUCCUGCAGCCCCAGUGUUCUAACAAAUAACCCUGCACAUCAUGUGAUCCUUUUAUAAUUAAAAAAUAAAAUGUUACCAUUUUAAAGAAAAUAUUCACAAAGACUAAAAAAAAAAAGAGCCCUUUCUUUCCCCACAUUGUCUAACCCACAGCAAGAGCACAAGGGACCUUCAAAGAGUUUAGUGCUGGCUGACUGACACAGCAGCUCCUGUAACCGGAGUUCGGCUUGGUGUGUUCCCCGUUUCAGCCUCUGGGGGCCCUCACAGGCUCUCAGGAGAUAGGCUCAAGCAGAACCAUCACCUUAAGUGAAGGUAAAAGGGAGAAUUAAUGUGCCCUGGAGAGCUCCCUCCCUUUACAAGACAGGGAAUAGAAACAGCAGACACAUUUAGAAAAACAUCCAGCUUCACUAAUUCAAGAGAUAGAUCAUUAAAAACGAUCAUGCCCUUCCCAUUAAACCAGCCAAAUUCAAAACAAAUAAAAAAUAAUAAAACCCAACGCUUGAGGCGCUGUAGGAAAACAUGCACGUUUUGCUGAGAGUAAUCUUUCUGAACAGCCGUCUGAUAAUAAGAGGCAAGUGCCUUCAAAAUGAUGGUACCCUUGACUUGAAGACCUCAGUUCAGGAACUGUAUCUCAAAGAAAUCAUUUGAUAGCAAAAAAUGUACAAUUUGGACAAAGAUAUUAAAACCAAGCAGGGUAUUAUUUCGGCUAACUAAAACCGGGAAACAGCCCAAAUGUCCACUUUAGGGAAAAACGAGAAUGGUAGUGUUCUGUUAAAAGGAAUUACAAUUUUGAGAUCUAUGUAGAAAUGUGGAAAGAAGCCUAUUAGGCAAUGAUACGUAAGAAAAGUAGAACUCAGACGGUUGCGUACACUGGCAGCAACCGUACAAAAUUAUCUGAAUGCUUACUAUGUGGCAGGCACUAUGCUGGGCCCUGGGGAAUCAGAAGUGAAGAGCAAAAAAAAGGUCAGGGCCCUGGUGGACUGAUAUUUUAGCAGAGGAGACAAAUAAGGAACCAAGGAAAUGCAUAAACAAGAUAAUAUCACCCAGGGCUAAUGGCUGGGCAGAAGGGAAACAAAGUAAAGGGGAUAGAGAGCAAGUACCUGUGGCUCCUUCAGCUGGGAUGGUCAGGGAAGACUUCUGAGGACGUGACACUUCCAAUGCUCCCUAAAUUACAAGGGGAAGAGUCACAAGAAGGAACCCACCAUAACGAACAGCAUGAGCACAGGGCAAAGAGAGAAAAGAGCUGAGCAUGUCCAAGGAACAGCAAGGGGGCCAGUGUGACCGCAGCGGACCGUGCAGUGAGAAGCUGUAGCAAGAGAUCAGAUCUAAGAGUUGGGUGGGGCCCGAAAAUGUACAGACUUGGUAGAUAAAGCUGAGGAUUUAGGCAGCAGAGGUGCCACAGGAAGAUCAGUGAGGAGGCAAAGGAUGAUGGUGGCCUGGACUUGCGGGUUGACGUGAGGAUGCAGAGGGGUGGUCCAAUUCAGGAUGUGCCUGAACGUAGAACUUGCUGAUGGCCUACAUGCGGCGGUUAAGUGAAAAAGAAGACUGGAGACGGCUCCAAGAUUUUAGGCUUGAGCAACUAGGAAAGGACUGGGUUUUGGAGCAAAAAUAUUCUGCGCUUCCUCCUUCUUGCUAAUCGGUGGCGGAGGAAGGCUUGGGGGCUGCAGAGCAGUUCUGGAAUUGUGCAAGCCACAGCUCAAAGAUUUUCAAAACCCUACCCUCAACCCACUCUGGCAGAGCUCAGAGCCUCUCCCCCAGGGGAGUCAGAUGAGGAGAAGUUACUGCCCCCAGCCUGGGUCUUACUCAAGAUGCUUUCAGCUGCUGAUGGGGCUGUCCGGAAAUACUGCAGAUCUCAGAGCGCCCUGACCAACCUGAGGUUAAAGGUGUCCAGAGCAGAGUAGUGCUUUCAGAGGGGCAGGACGGAGUGGAGGGGGGCAACAGGCACUGGGCUACCACAAGAAUUCUCUCAUUUCAUCUUCUCCACAGUCCUGUGAAGUACCUACUACUGUGCUUAACCCAUGGGACAGAGAAGAAAACUGAGGCUUAACAAGGUAUGAAAGAGAUUAAACAAGCAAGCAAGAGCCGAGAUGGGGGAAGAGAGAUGCCAAGCCACGUGAAGAUCACCUAGGAGCAGAAGCUCAAAGAGACAAGGGCCUUCCUCCAGAGCCAACAGAGACAGAAAGCCUUCCCCUAGAGCUGGCAGCCUGAAUUCGGACUUCUAGCCUCCUCGACUAAGCAGCCAAAUGAAACCAGCCCCAGGGACACGCGCAGAACAUCCACCUGUGACCGUUGUGUGACCUUCCACCCAGGGCAGUGAGAGGCUGCAGCCACAGCUGGGGAAUCGAGCUGGGGGAGCGAGAGACUGCGCAGGCGCGACACCCCAUAGUAAGUCCUGCUAUGAAUCCCAGAGGCCUCCCAGACAGAAGCCAUCUUAGAAAGCUGCUGAGUGCGUACCGUAGUUAACAUAUUUUCCACCCAAAAACCUUUAAGAACCCAUGCAAAUCCUUUGUUCUGUGAGAUGGGGGUAAGCCUAGGCCCUCCUCGUCCCCUACUUGCAAGCCUCUUUAAUAAAGCUUUGCUCAUGUGGAAAAUUCUCCGUGCUUUACCUGCUCAUUCUUGACCAGGGAGAGGCAAGACCCUUAUUCAAUUCCGGCAACACCUGCACCACCCCCAUGUCCUGCAUGUCCACCAUGCAGUACACCCCACUUGCUUCUGUAUGUCAGUCAUCAUCCCAGGAGCUUUCUAGGCUCCUGCAUUUUGACAUUCACAGUGCCUUUUGAGGAAGACCUAAGUACCACCUGUGGAGUCUGAUCCUUAUCUUGCCCAGAACAGCUGGGCCUGUUCUGCCUUUACCCAGUGGGAAGAGAGACAGUCUGCCUCUGCUGGUUUUGGUUCCUCCAGGACAGUGCUUUCCGCUGCUGCAGUUGACCACUUCCCAUCCUUUGGCAAAAGCCAGGUCCUGGCUCUAGGAGAAUGUGAAAGUGGAAAGAAGGACAGAGAAGUGGAUGAGCUCUCGGCUCAGGAAUGACGACGCAGUGGUUAUUUAGAUUUCGCAGAGUUGUAUCUGCUGUCAGGGCCCAGGGGCUCCAUUCCCAGCAGAUACGAUUCAUCUAACAGCAGUGACAGCCAUAUGAGAACAUUUGCACAAGGCUUGGGUACCCAUGUAUGACCAUGUAGCUACAAUAAAAGGUCAUGGCUGACUCUGAGUCCCUUCUCUGAGACUCAGCGCAAACUUUGGCUUCAUAGUUCAGAAUCAUGCGGAAGAGUAGAAAAAACAAAGACUUGGGUUCAAGUCCUAUGUCUGUCCUUUUUAUUGCUAGCUGGAUGACCUUUCCUUAACUCACAUAUAGUUUGGGUGCCAACUAUGUGCUAGGGACUGAGCAUACAGAGGUGAACGAGACAGACAGGUCAUCCCUCCCUUCACUGGACUUACUCUCUAGUAGGGAGGCAUGUUGUUGUUGACCAAAUUACAAACUUGGAUAAGUAUCAGCAAAGAAAUGAGCAGGUUAUGUGGAGACAGAGAUGAAGUAGAAUGGUUGGAGAAAGCCUCUCUGAGGAGGUAAUGUUCCAAUAAAUACUAAAAGCUAAGGUACAGCCAUAUAUGGAGAGGGCCUAAGAUGGGAAAGAGGCUGGCCCGAUGAGAAACUGAAAGGAGGCCAGAAUUACUGGCCUCAUGGGAGCCAUCAUGGGAGGGGACAGAGUGAUGACAAAUGAAGUCAGAAGGAAGGACAGAGGCCAACAGGAGGCGCUGGAGUUCAUAUGAAAAUCAAGAAGCCAUGGGAGCUUUAAGCAGGGGAGGGACAAUCUGAUUUCUUUGUAAUUGUGGUCAAAAACAUGUAAAAUUUGAUAUUUUAACCAUUUUAAAGUGUACAAUUCAGUGGCAUUUAGUACAAUCACAGUGUUGUACAACCACCUAUGUAGGUCUACAUUUUCAUCACCCUCAAAGGAAUCCCCACACCCAUUAGCAGUCUCUCCCCAUUCCCUACUCCCCAACCCCGCCAGCCCCUGGCAACCAUUAAUCUGCGAUGUCUAUAGAUUUGCCUAUUCUGGACAUUUCAUAUAAAUGGAAUCAUAUAAUACGUGGUCUUUUAUGUCUGGUUUCUAUCACUUAGCAUAAUGUUUUAGAGGUUCAUCCAUGUUGUAGCACGUAUCAGCACUCUAUCCCUUUUUACGGCUAAAUAAUAUUCCAUUGUAUGGCUAUGCCACAUUGUGUUUAUCCAAACAUCAGCUGAUACGGUUUGACUUUAAAAGGUGGCUCUGGCUGCUGGGUAGAGAUUGAAUUACAGAAAGGUAAAAACGGGAGUGCAGGCAAGUGGCAGUGAUAACUUGGCUUAGAAUGCUGGGAGUGGGGAAGGAAAACAGGGUAUGACUUCGGGAUCCAUUUGGAGACCAGACAGACAGGUGGGGAUUAUAGGUGGAUUGGCUGUGGAGGGGCAAGGAAGAAGCUGGAGAAUCUGGGUGCACAGUGGUAUCACCUACCAAGAUGGAGACACCUGGGAAAGGCCAGAAGUGGGAGACAUUCUAUGUGUUCUUGAUAAUGUUUCAUUUGUCAAAGUGGAGGGGUUAAGUGGGUGUUGGGUUUCAGUCUGGAACUUGGCAGAGAGGUGUGGGAGUCCUCAGUGCACAGCGGGAAUUGCAAAUCAUGGACAGGGCUGAGACCCCCUCCAGGAAUGUAGACAAAGGGGCCAGGACUGAGCUAGAGCACACCAACUUAAGAGGUUCAUCAGGCAAGGAAAAGGCGGCAAAGGAGACAGAGGAGCCAGGGAGAUAGAAGGAAAAACCAAGGGAGUGUGGUGUCCUGGAAACUGAGAGAAGCGUUUCCAGAAAGAGGGAGGAAAAAACAGUAUCAAAUACUGAUAGGAGUAUGCUGAAGAAUACAGAUGGGGUAGUGGAGAAAAGAUGGGAGAGACCACCCAUGGAAAGGAGCAGAGAAAUGGGACAAUGGCUAAAGGGCUGGCAAGGUCCACAUUGGAGUCCUGGCCUAGUGCAAUGCCUGGAAUUUAAGAACUGCCACUAACCAAAAGCAAAGAAGUUUCCAAAAUAAACUGAAUGCUUCAAAGGCCAGCAUAGCAGGGGUGGGGGUUUGGGGACCAUGGUUUCAGGGGACAUCUAAGUCAAUUGGCAUAAUAAAAUCUAUUAAGAAAACAUUCUGCAUCCCACCUUGGAGAGAGGCGUCUGGGGUCUUAAACGCUAGCAAGCGGCCACCUAACAUGCAUUAAUUAGUCUCAACCCACCUAGAUCAAAAGAGAAUGAAGAACACCAAGGACACAAGGUAAUUACAAGCCCAAGAGACAGAAAGGGGCACAUAAACCAGAGACUACAUCAGCCUGAGACCAGAAAAACUACAUGGUGCCCGGCUACAACCGAUGACUGCCCUGACAGGGAACACAACAGAGAACCCCUGAGGGAGCAGGAGAACAGUGGGAUGCAGACCCCAAAUCCUCAUAAAAAGACCAGAUUUAAUGCUCUGACUGAGACUAGAAGGACCCCAGCGAUCAUGGCCCCCAGACCUGUUGGCCCAGGACAGGAACCAUUCCCAAAGCCAACUCUUCAGACAAGGAUUGGACUGGACAAUGGGUUGGAGAGGGAUGCUGGUGAGGAGUGAGCUUCUUGGAUCAGGCGGACACUUGAGACUAUGUUGGCAUCUCCUGCCUGGAGGGGAGAUGAGAGGGUGGAGGGGGUUAGAAGCUGGCUAAAUGGACACGAAAAAGAGAGUGGAGGGAGGGAGCAGGCUGUCUGAUUGGGGGAGAACAACUGGGAGUAUGUAGCAAGGUGUAUGUAAGUUUCUGUGUGAGAGACUGACUUGAUUUGUAAACUUUCAGUUAAAGCACAAUAAAAAUUAAAAAAAAAAUCACCUAUGUGAAAUCAAAUGGUCAGGAAUUACUUUACAACAAAGAGAGAAUGUAAAAGGGCAGGGAAACUAGAUAAUGGAAACAGAAGAUCCAGAACAGAAAUAUGAGAAUGUUCAUACAUUGUGAAGAAUGUAACCAAUGUCACUGAACAACUUGUGUAGAAAUUGUUGAGUGGAAACCUAAACUGCUGUGUAAAUCUUCACUAAAAACACAAUAAAAUAUUAAAAAAAAAACAAAAAACUGCCACUAUUCAGCAAUUACUACAUGCCAGGCACUGUGCUAAGCAUCUUGUCCCCAUUUCACAGAUGUAACUGAGUUAAUCGGAGUUUAUUCAAGGCUACCCAGCUGGUAAGAGGCAAAGCUAGACCACAAACCCUGCUCCAGAUACAGGGCUCUCAACGGACUCCUUUACACAUGGCAGCAAUGGUGGGUGCUAAUGUUCGUGGGUCAAGGUCUCCAGUUCUCUUGAAUCUUUCCCAUCUAUUGAAGUGAGUGAGACUUCCAUUGGGAAGAGGAGGGCAGAAGACUCUGGAAUUAUUUCCUCUCAUUUUGGUGAGCAGAACCUAAAGGAUUCAGCAGCAGCCCCUGUCCAUCUGCUGGUUACUCAUGGAAACCACUCCCAACAAUGUGGUUUAGCCUUCUUGGCCGGCAGAUAAGGCUUCGAGCAGACGGGCCCAACACGGGUCCGACAGCAGACCUGGGAUUGACUCCCAACUUCUCUCCACCGCUGGAGAUGAGGCCAAACCAGUGUCAGUGCUUCCGUCCUCUUCUUGCUAUUGCCUGUUUCAGGAAACGGCAUGUGACCCAAUGCUCUGGCCAGUGUGAUCUGAGGGGAAGUCUGCUGGGGCUUCUGGAAGUUUCCUACUUCUCAAAGGAGACCUGGAAGAUGCCUUGCCUCUGUUCUUUCUCUGGAGAAGGUCUCGAUGUAAGGCCUGGCACUGCUGCCACCACCCUGCUCCCAGCCUAAGGAGGGCAGAGCUGUGAGAGAUGCGAAGCACCCUGAUGAUGUUGCUAAGUCACUCUGUCCACCAGACCUGGAACAGCCCCACAUUAAUACUUCCGUUUAUGGGAAAUGUUACUUUCUAUUAGUGUCUGGGUCAGGGCUUCAGUUACUAUCCAGCACAUCCAGACCCCAUCCAUGUCACUCUUUUGUUAUCAGCACUCCACAUUCCCUGCUGGAUCCACCCCUGUGGAACUGUUAAUCAAGGUACCCCCUCCCACACAUGUACAUUCAUAGAGGACACAGUUACAGGUACUUUUCAGAUAUAACCAAACACCUUGCAAGAUUUUUUCUGAGUUUGAAGGCUUAGGACCUUAUUCACAUGGGACAACUGAGCCAAAUGGCAUAAUAUAGUUCACACAGUUCAUGUUCUGCUUCCUAGUGAGGUAUGUAGUAUCUGGGGUCUCACAAGCUUGCGAGCAGUCAACCAAGAUAGAACUAUCCGUCACUAGUAGUCAGGAGCAAAAGAGAAGGGAAACCAAAGUCUCAGAGAAGAAACUAGACUACAGGGCUGACAGCCUACAUGAGCCAUGGCAUCAUCUACCGUGAAACCGAACUAGAUAGUGUCCGGCUAUCAUUACCCACCAUUCUGAUCAGGGCCACAAUAAAUGGGCCCUGACAGAACAGGAGAAAAACAGAACAGAACUCAAAUUCUUUAGAAGUCUAGACUUACUGGACACGUUGAGACUAGAGGACUCCCUGAGACUAAGGCCCUGAGAUACUCUUUAGACUUUGAACUGAAAAACUGUCCCAAGGUCACCUUUUAGCAAAAUAAUAGAUUGGCACAAAGGUUAUUACCCAUAAGUAUGGUGCUCCAUUAAAAAACCAUCUAUAUGUUGGUGAAGGGUAAGACAGUACACAAUACCAAGGAAUUCAGCACAACUUUUACAAGGCAAGGUCCUGGAAGCUCCAUAGACACACCAGACUCCCUGAGGGACUGAACUGCUGGGCUGAGGGCUGUGGAGACCACGGUCUUGGAGAACAUCUAGCUCAACUGGUAUAACAUAGUUUAUAAAGAAAAUGUUCUACAUUCUAUUUUGGGGAGUAGCAUCUGGGGUCUUAAAAGCCUGUGAGCAGCCAUCUAAGAUAGUCUACUGGUCUCACCAGACUGAGUACAGUACAACCAGAUGGUGCCCGGCUACCACCACUGACUGCUCAAACAGGGACCACAAUAGAGGGUCCCAGACAGAGCUGGAGAAAAAUGUAGAACAAAAUCCUAACUCACAAAAAAAGACCAGACUUACUGCCUGACGGAAGCUGGAGAAACCCUGAGAAUAUGGCCCCGGACACCCUUUUAGGUGAGUAACGAAGUCACUCCUGUGGUUCACCCUUCAGCCAAAGAUUAGACAAGCCCAUGAGAUAAAACAAGACUAAAGGGGCCCAGGGACAAGGACGAGAAGGCAGGAGAGGACAGGAAAGCUGGUAAUAGGGAACUCAAGGUCGAGAAGGGAGAGUGUUGACAUGUCGUGGGGUUGGUAACCAGUACCAUAAAGCAAUAUGUGUACUGUUUAAUGAGAAGCUAGUUCUGUAAACUUUCAUCUAAAGUACAAUUAAAAAAAAAAAAUCUAAAUGAGACCGAAAGGUCAACAAUUACUCUAAAGCAAAGAUGAGAAGGGAGCAGAGAAACUACAGCACUGGAAAUGGAGCAACCAGAACGCAAUUAAAGAGAAUGUUGACACAUUGUGAAAAGUGCAACUAACGUCAUUAAACAAUUCGUGAAAUGGGAAUUUAGCUUGCUGUAUAAACUUUCACUUAAAAUACAAUUUUUUUUUUUUUAAAAAAGGCAACCGCUCUCCUAGCUGAGGGGUGGGCACAUGACAUAGGUGGAGCCAAUGAGACAGCCAAGGGUCAGCAUUCACUUACGCUGUGGUGGGAUCCUGGGAGACUUCUGGCCGUUUCUCCUGAGAAUCUUUGGGACAGCUGAUGCUCCUCUGUGUCCCGCCCAGCUCUCGAGCCUUUCCUUCCAUCUGGUGGGGCCUCAUAGCCUUCCAAAAAAUGCCCUUUUUGCUUAAGUUUUUCUUGUUUGCAUCCAAGGAACUCAGGCUAGGAGCUGAGGGAGAGGGCCAGGGAAGACAGUCUCUGCUAUUAAGGAGCACGCCCUUUGUGAGUGUCUUAGUCUCCUACCACACAGUGGGCAGCUUUAAAGAACAGGACUUUAUUUUCUCACAGUUCUGGAGGCCAGAAGUCCAAAUCAGCGUCCCAGCCAUGUCGAUUCCUUACAGGGGCUUUGAGAGAGGAACUGUCCCAUGCCUCCCUCUUAGUUUCUGGUGACUGCAGGCAAUCCUUGGGUGUCCCUUGGCUGCUUAUAGACAGACGCAUCUGCCUCUACUAUCACAUGGCAUUCCUUCUCUCUUCUCCAUGUGAUUUUGCUUCUGGGUCUGUCUUCCUCUUUUAUAAGAUGCAAGUCUUACAGGAUUAGGAUCCACUCUACUUGGGUAUGACUUCCUUAACUUAGCUGAUAACAUCUGCAAAGAAAAACUUUUAUUUCCCCAAACAAGAGCACAUUCACUGGUAUAGGGGUUAGGACUUUAACAUCUUUUUGGAGCACAGAGUUCAAUUCAUAACAGUGAGGGAGGCAGAGUUGUAAACGACUUUCAUAUGAAGCAGAAGAAUGAAAUGAAGAGUGAUAACAGCUGUGAAAAAAUCACCAUUUUUAUUGAGUCAGGCACUGCAACAGACCCAUUAAAUACAACUCAUUAAAUUGUCACAACCACCCUGUGAGGUAGGUACUCACAUACUGGCAUUAGAUUCAGCGGUAAUAAAACCAAAAAAGCCAAACUCAUUGCCACGGAGUCAAUUUUGACUCAUAGUAACCUUAUAGGGCAGAGCAGAACUGCCCCAUAGGGUUUCCAAGGAGAUGCUGGUGGAUUCAAACUGCCGACCUUUUGGUUAGCAGCCGUAGCUCUUAGCCACUACACCACGAGGGUUUCCAUUCAGCUGUAAUAGAAGUCCAAAAUACCAGUUAUUUCUCUCAUUGAAAAUGCUGGAGGCAUCAAAUCCAGAGCUGGUGAGGUGGCCUCCAUCCCACAAAGCUUUAGAGAGCCACUCCUUUCAGCUCACUGCUCUGCCAUUCCUAGGGGCCAUCUAGAUAGGUGAGGCUGGGCAAUCUCACUCGAGGUCCUCCUCCAGCUGUACCCAGAGCUACCUUGGACACAUCAGUGGCACAAGUCAGUACAUUUCCUUUUGUUGGGCCAGUUUGAUAGGUGUUCCUGUCACGGCCAAAGAGUGCUGACUCAUAUAGAGAUGUCAGACUUGAUUUUGUCACCACCUAGGGGGCUCGGGGAGUAUUUGUUUGUUUUAUAGUAGUAGGGCCUAGAGCAGUGUUUCUCUGAGUAUGGUCCACAAACCACCAAUAUCUGAAUCACUCAGACACUGAACUCGAUGGAAACGCACAUUCCUGGCCCCAAUUUCCAAAUCGGAAUCUCCAGAAGGGGGCUCGGGGAGUAUUUGUUUGUUUUAUAGUAGUAGGGCCUAGAGCAGUGUUUCUCUGAGUAUGGUCCACAAACCACCAAUAUCUGAAUCACUCAGACACUGAACUCGAUGGAAACGCACAUUCCUGGCCCCAAUUUCCAAAUCGGAAUCUCCAGAAGUGAGGCCUAGGACUCUGCAUGUUUAUAAGUGCUUCCAGAGAUUCCCAUGGGCAUCAAUUUCAGAACCAAUGGCUGGAUUAGGUGACUCAACCUCUAUCUCACCAACUUGGGUGUUAAAACACAUCUCUACGUUUUCAACAAUCACUACCAUCGAUUUCUUCCAUUUAGCGGUUGUUUCCUGUGUGCCCAGCACCGUGCUAGCAAACACAUUACAAGCAUGCCCUCAUUUAAUCCUCACACCCACCCAGAAGUGGAGGCUCUGAGAGGCUAAGUGCCUUGUCGAUUGUCACUGCUGGUGAACUCAAAGCCAGUUCUGCCUGUCCCAGGAUCAGUGCUAAUAAGUACCACACUAUAAGGCCUGCACGGUCGCUAUGGGUCGGAAUCAACCUGAUGGCAAUGGCUUUGGUUUUUUACUGCCUGUCUUUAAAACAAAAUAUAACUUUGUACUUUUAGGCAGAGAAAGUGCUAGGAUUUACUCACGCUAGAAGACUCUUGGGUUGCUACAUGGUCACUAUGAGCUGCUAUAGGGUCAGAACUGACUCAGCAGCAGCUGGUCUAGAAGAGUCUUGAGUCUUCUCUUUCCUUACCCCCCAUACCACCUAAUCACUCCUUGCGCCCCAUCCACACCCCACAGCUUCUCCCUCUGAAUAUCUCUAGAGACUGUCUAUUUUUUCUUAUCUUUGCUGUCAUGACGCUGGCCCAUGUCACCACUGCCUUUUGCUUGCACCAGUCUCCCACUUCCCCUCCUGCCUUUCUCAAACCUCCUUGUCACAGUACUGAGAAUAAUUUUUAAAAAAAUCUAACCUCUUAAUAUCUCAGACAUUCAGAAAAUUAUACAGGAUACUAUAAAAAGCAACUGUGUCCUCACCAUCAGGCUAAGAAAAAGUUGUGUUUCUUGAAACACAAAGGUUAGAGCCCUUCACUGGCUUCCUCUUGCCCUGGGAACUGAAACCCUCCUUGUGGCCAGCUAGCCCUGCCCGGUCUGGGCCCUGCUGCUUCUCUAGGCUCUCCUGCAACCCCGUUACUCUGCUCCAGCCUUGCUGGCCUUGAUUUCGUCUUAUGCACCAGCUCAUCACCUAGGGCCUGCGGACUUGCAUUCCUCCUGCAGAAACCUCCCCUUGCCACUAGGCUUGGCCGGCUCCAGCCUCCAUUGCAAUGAUGCUUCCGCAGGAAAGCCUUCCGACUCUCCAUACUCCUGCCACACUAUUUAGUUCUUGGUUUGGAAUUAGACCUGUUCCCUGAGGGCAGUGUCCGUGCCUUCCCAGGGCCCGGUGCACAGUAGCUACUUUAAAUAUUCCCUGAAUGGAGAGAGGUAUUAACAAGGAGUCAGCCUUUUACAGCCUCACUGAAAUACGUAAGACUCAUUCAUUUGACAAAUAUUCACUGAGUGCUUACUAUGCGCCAGGCUAACAUUUGUUUUUAAGAACACAUCACUUGGCCCUAGUAAUAACAACCUGUGCCUGGCCAACCUUCCCACCCCUGAACAACACCCACUGGUCAGGGUGUACCAUAAGCAGAGUGAUUUCAGCCGUGCUGCCCAUCUCUAAAACAACCUCUGUAACAAGGACUGACAGCCAUUAGUGGGUUAAUCCCACCCAACCUUUGACUCUACGUACCGAAGGAGGGUAGGGUGCUAAGUUAGUGAGGCACCUGUACCGUGCAUAAUGUCCACAACAACCAGCUUGGAUUAUCUUUGUCCUGAAUUUGGGGAAUAUUUAAGUGUGGGCAUCAGGGCUUCCAAAAGUGGAAUCUGAGUGGAAAAAGGAUACUUGGGGCCAGUAGCAGAUCAAGGAAGGCUUCACAGAGAGCUCUGAAUCUGUGAGGCAGCAAUCCUUACUGUCGUUCUCAGCAGCCUCUACCCUAAUGCACCACCCUUCCAUACUCAGACAAGCCGACCCCAGAUUACAGGAGUACAGGGGUAGUAGCUAAAAGAACUCUUGUCACUCUAAGUAAACAACCUCACCUGGCAGACCCAUUAGGACCCUCAUGCUCUUUCUUUGCCUGGUUUCAAGGGCAGGCUCCUGCUUCCUUUCAGCACAAGCACAGAGCUGUAAUGGGCCCUGCCCAGCUCGUUUCCCUCUCUAAGCCUGCACACUUGGAGGAAUUUGGGCUGGGUACGUGCCUUGUUACAAAGAACAAGUGUUUCCACGUAAGUACCAUCAGCUCUGUUCGGGGCUUCAAACCCGUCCGUUCAUUUCCAUCCCAGAUAUACUGAAUCAAAUUCUAUAGUUUAACAAGAUCCCCAGGCGAUUCUCAUGUAAAAUAAAUUUUGAGAAUCACUGCUCUGCUAGUGGUUCUCAGAACUGGUCCCUAACCAACAGCACUAGCAUCAACUGGGAACUUGUUAGAAGGCAAAUUCUUGACAGGGGUUCAAACCUGAAUGAACCCAUUGGAAGUCUUCCUUCUGUUGAAAUAAAACAUGUCCCCACAUCUGAUCAUGAUAGGGUUUUUUUCCACAAUUUUUUUUUUCCUGUUGUAAUCUUGAUUUCACACUUCUCUAUUUUCAACAAAGGGAGGUAGAAUGUUCUUUCAAUAAGUUUUUUUGAAAAAUUAGAAUCAGGGGCUGAGUUGAAAGAAAAUAGGGCAGCUCUAUAAUGUUUUAAUAUAGAAAGUCUACAAGAAACAGUAAUUAAAACAAUGUUUAAAUAUCAUUUGUGUAAAAAAAAAAGAUGGAGUAAGGUGUGUAUACACAUACCCUGGGGUCUGCACAGUGUAUCUCUGGCAGGAUGCACAAAAACAGCUUCAUUGGGAGAGUGGCUGGGGGUUAGCAGUGAAGAUCGACUUUAAUAUUUUAGUGUCUGCAUUUUAAAAACUUGAUUUACAUGUAGUACACCUACUCAAAACAUAAUUUAAAAAGUAAAAAAAAAAGUAUGAACUCAGGGCUAAAGGAAGUGCUCAGGCCUAGUUUUGUAACUGAAUUGUUGAGACACUGUGUGAAAUGACUUACUCUUCAGUUUCACAGUUGACCUGGGGUUACCUGUGGAUCUUCACAGAACUUUCUAGCAGUGCUUUUGGCAAACUAAUUCCAUGAACUGAUAGCAGAUGGAGUCUUUUUGCAUUAACUGUUUUAUACCUGUCAUUCAAUGUGACCUGGAUUUGGUGGCAGGAAAUAGUCAAACAACAAUGAUGAUGAUGAUAAACCAAAACCAAACCUACUGCCGUUGAGUCGGUUCCGACUCAUAGUGA